ensembl:lncRNA
UUUACAACAUGGAUUAAUAUGUCUCUGAAUUCAGGGUCAACAACAACAGUUACCAUCAUUUAUCAAUAACGCGGAGCCCCCCGUCCAAGGGGUUCUGAAGAUCAUACACGUCUCCAUGGACUGGCUUGUGGGUCUUCCAGAUGCAUUCCACAUGGCAACCAGUGGUCUGAAUAUCACCAUCGUCCUCUUCCUGCUCUUCCUGGGUCUUCUCUACAGGAUUAGCACUUGUCGACCCUCUUCUUGAUGAGGAAGCACUUGUUAGCAGAACCGUUGUUUUUGAAUUCUGUUUCUUUCUUAUUUUUUGUUCAAAGCCAUGAAUUGCUGCUUGCUUGGUAAUUGUAGUGUUUUAGACAAUUUGAGACCAAAACGUGAAAUGACAGUGUUUUAACCCUUCAAUCUUAAUUAACCUUGACAAAACAAAAGCUCCAUUGCCGCAUCAGUAAAAGAGAACUCAUGACACAUUUAGCAGUAAUGACAAUGCUGCACAGCUUUGCAACCUAUAUGUUGUGAAAUGCAUAUAAACUCGCUCCCAG